AAGGCCUUAGUUUAACAAAAACAUUUGAUUUGCAUUCAGAAGAUGCAAGAUAAACUCUUGUAGGCCUUA
rnacentral:tRNA from 1 species